rnacentral:rRNA from 1 species
AUUGAACGCUGGCGGCAGGCCUAACACAUGCAAGUCGAACGAGUGGCGGACGGGUGAGUAUUGUCUGGGGAACUGCCCGUUGGGGGGGGAUAACUACUGGAGACGGUGGCUAAUACCCCAUACCAUAGGAUGUGCCCCGAUGGGAUUAGCUAGUAGGUGGGGUAACGGCUCACCCAGGCGACGAUCCCUAGCUGGUCUGAGAGGAUGACCAGCCACACUGGAACUGAGACACGGUCCAGACUCCUACGGGAGGCAGCAGUGGGGAAUAUUGCGCAAUGGGCGCAAGCCUGAUGCAGCCAUGCCGCGUGUAUGAAGAAGGCCUUCGGGUUGUAAAGUACUUUCAGCGAGGAGGCGUUACUCGCAGAAGAAGCACCGGCUAACUCCGUGCCAGCCGCCGCGGUAAUAA